ensembl:snRNA U6 U6 spliceosomal RNA
GUGCUUCAGCAGCACAUAUACUAAAAUUGGAACAAUACAGAGACGAUUAGUAUGGUCCCUGCACAGGGAUGAUGUGCAAAUUCAUGAAGUGUUCCAUAUUUCC